rnacentral:rRNA from 1 species
GACGAACGCUGGCGGCGUGCCUAACACAUGCAAGUAGAACGCAGUGGGGACGGGUGAGUAACCCGUGGGUAACCUCCCAUCAGAGGGGAUAACACUUGGAAACAGGUGCUAAACCGAUACAGAUGGAUGGACCCGCGGUGCAUUAGCUAGUUGGUGCGGUCACGGCUCCCCAAGGCCACGAUGCAUAGACGCCCUGCGAGGCUGAUCGGCCACACGGGGACUGAGACACGGCCCAGACUCCUACGGGAGGCAGCAGUAGGGAAUCUUCGGCAAUGGACGAAAGUCUGACCGAGCAACGCCGCGUGAGUGAAGAAGGUUUGCGGAUCGUAAAACUCUGUUGUUAGAGAAGCGGUAUCUAACCAGAAAGCCACGGCUAACUACGUGCCAGCAGCCGCGGUAAUAC